GAUGAACGCUAGCUACAGGCUUAAUACAUGCAAGUCGAGCGACCGGCGCACGGGUGAGUAACACGUAUCCAACCGGCCCCUUACUCGGGGAUAGUCUUAAGAAAGAAAGAUUAAUACCCGUACUAAAGGAUGGGGAUGCGUUCCAUUAGGUUGUUGGUAAGGGAUCGGCUCGCCAAGCCUUCGAUGGAUAGGGGUGCUGAGAUGAAGGUCCCCGACAUUGGAACUGAGACGCGGUCAAAACUCGGACGGGAGGCAGCAGUGAGGAAUACAGGUAAAUGGGCGCUAGCCUGAACAAGCCAAGUAGCUUGAAGGAUGAAUGCUUAUGGGUCGUAAACUUCUUUUAUAUAAGAAUAGGUAUUAUAUGAAUAAGGAUCGGCUAACUCCGUGCCAGCAGCCGCGGUAAUUC
rnacentral:rRNA from 1 species